GAGUUGCGAACGGGUGAGUAACGCGUAGGUAACCUGCCUGGUAGCGGGGGAUAACUAUUGGAAACGAUAGCUAAUACCGCAUAACAGUAGAUAUCGCAUGAUAGCUGCUUGAAAGGUGCAAUUGCACCACUACCAGAUGGACCUGCGUUGUAUUAGCUAGUUGGUGAGGUAACGGCUCACCAAGGCAACGAUACAUAGCCGACCUGAGAGGGUGAUCGGCCACACUGGGACUGAGACACGGCCCAGACUCCUACGGGAGGCAGCAGUAGGGAAUCUUCGGCAAUGGACGGAAGUCUGACCGAGCAACGCCGCGUGAGUGAAGAAGGUUUUCGGAUCGUAAAGCUCUGUUGUAAGAAAAAAACGAGUGUGAGAGUGGAAAGUUCACACUGUGACGGUAUCUUACCAGAAAGGGACGGCUAACUACGUGCCANCAGCCGCGGUAAUACGUAGGUCCCGAGCGUUGUCCGGAUUUAUUGGGCGUAAAGCGAGCGCAGGCGGUUANAUAANUCUGAAGUUAAAGGCUAUGGCUUAACCAUANUACGCUUUGGAAACUGUUUAACUUGAGUGCAAGAGGGGAGAGUGGAAUUCCUGUGUAGCGGUGAAAUGCGUAAAUAUAUGGAGGAACACCGGUGGCGAAAGCGCUCUCUGGCUUGUACUGACGCUGAGGCUCGNAAGCGUGGGAGCAAA
rnacentral:rRNA from 1 species